rnacentral:tRNA from 1 species
GCUCCGGUGGUGUAGCCCGGUCAAACAUCCAGGCCUUUCGAGCCUGAGCCCCGGGUUCAAAUCCCGGCCGGAGCA